rnacentral:rRNA from 1 species
UACGUAGGAGGCAAGCGUUAUCCGGAUUUAUUGGGCGUAAAGAGAACGCAGGCGGUCUUUUAAGUCUGAUGUGAAAGCCUUCGGCUUAACCGGAGUAGUGCAUUGGAAACUGGGAGACUUGAGUGCAGAAGAGGAGAGUGGAACUCCAUGUGUAGCGGUGAAAUGCGUAGAUAUAUGGAAGAACACCAGUGGCGAAAGCGGCUCUCUGGUCUGUAACUGACGCUGAGGUUCGAAAGCGUGGGUAGCAAACAGG